rnacentral:rRNA from 1 species
GCAGCAGGCGCGCAAAUUACCCACUCCCAGAGCGGGGAGGUAGUGACGAAAAAUAACGAUACGGGACUCAUCCGAGGCCCCGUAAUCGGAAUGAGUACAAUUUAAAUCCUUUAACGAGGACCAAUUGGAGGGUAAGUCUGGUGCCAGCAGCCGCGGUAAUUCCAGCUCCAAUAGCGUAUAUUAAAGUUGUUGCGGUUAAAAAGCUCGUAGUCGAAUUUGUGUCUCGCGCCGACGGUUCAUCGUCCGCGGUGUUAACUGGCGUGUCGCGAGACGUCCUGCCGGCGGGCUUAGCUCGCGAGAGCGGUCCAAUCCAAUCCCGCCGCGGUGCUCUUGAUUGAGUGUCGAGGUGGGCCGGCACGUUUACUUUGAACAAAUUACAGUGCUCAAAGCAGGCUAAAAUUUCGCCUGAAUACUCCGUGCAUGGAAUAAUGAAACAGGACCUCGGUUCUAUUUUGUUGGUUUUCGGAACACCGAGGUAAUGAUCAACAGGAACGGAUGGGGGCAUUCGUAUUGCGACGUUAGAGGUGAAAUUCUUGGAUCGUCGCAAGACGGACAGAAGCGAAAGCAUUUGCCAAAAAUGUUUUCAUUGAUCAAGAACGAAAGUUAGAGGUUCGAAGGCGAUCAGAUACCGCCCUAGUUCUAACCAUAAACGAUGCCAGCUAGCGAUCCGCCGACGUUCCUCCGAUGACUCGGCGGGCAGCUUCCGGGAAACCAAAGCUUUUGGGUUCCGGGGGAAGUAUGGUUGCAAAGCUGAAACUUAAAGGAAUUGACGGAAGGGCACCACCAGGAGUGGAGCCUGCGGCUUAAUUUGACUCAACACGGGAAACCUCACCAGGCCCAGACACCGGAAGGAUUGACAGAUUGAUAGCUCUUUCUUGAUUCAGUGGGUGGUGGUGCAUGGCCGU